UACGUUCCCGGGCCUUGUACACACCGCCCGUCACGUCACGAAAGUCGGCAACACCCGAAGCCGGUGGCCUAACCCGUAAGGGAGGGAGCCGUCGAAGGUGGGGCCAGCGAUUGGGACG
rnacentral:rRNA from 1 species